rnacentral:rRNA from 1 species
GACAGAGGUGCCGAGCGUUAGGCGGAAUCACUGGGCUUAAAGCGUGUGUAGGCGGACCGUUAAGUACCUUGUGAAAUCCCCCGGCUCAACCGGGGAACGGCUGGGUAUACUGGCGGUCUUGAGCCAUCCAGGGGCAGCCGGAACAGACGGUGGAGCGGUGAAAUGCGUAGAUAUCGUCUGGAACGCCGAAGGUGAAAACAGGCUGCUGGGGAUGUGCUGACGCUGAGACACGAAAGCCAGGGGAGCGAACGGG